rnacentral:rRNA from 1 species
UACAGAGGGUGCGAGCGUUGUCCGGAAUCACUGGGCUUAAAGGGCGCGUAGGCGGGCGACCAAGUCAGGGGUGAAAUCGUUCGGCCCAACCGGACAAGGGCCCCUGAUACUGGUUGUCUCGAGGGAGGUAGGGGUCGAUGGAACUUCCGGUGGAGCGGUGAAAUGCGUAGAUAUCGGAAGGAACGCCGGUGGCGAAAGCGAUCGACUGGACCUCUUCUGACGCUGAGGCGCGAAAGCCAGGGGAGCAAACGGG